rnacentral:rRNA from 1 species
AGAGUUUGAUCAUGGCUCAGGAUGAACGCUGGCGGUCUGCUUAACACAUGCAAGUCGAACGCACCUUUCGGGGUGAGUGGCGGACGGGUGAGUAACGCGUGAGAAUCUGCCUAGAGGUCGGGGACAACCAUUGGAAACGAUGGCUAAUACCGGAUAUGCCUUACGGGGUGAAAGAUUAAUCGCCUUUAGAAGAGCUCGCGUCUGAUUAGCUAGUUGGUAGGGUAAAAGCCUACCAAGGCAUCGAUCAGUAGCUGGUCUGAGAGGAUGACCAGCCACACUGGGACUGAGACACGGCCCAGACUCCUACGGGAGGCAGCAGUGGGGAAUUUUCCGCAAUGGGCGAAAGCCUGACGGAGCAAGACCGCGUGAGGGAGGAAGGCUCUUGGGUCGUAAACCUCUUUUGUCAGGGAAGAACAAAAUGACGGUACCUGACGAAUCAGCAUCGGCUAACUCCGUGCCAGCAGCCGCGGUAAUACGGAGGAUGCAAGCGUUAUCCGGAAUUAUUGGGCGUAAAGCGUCCGCAGGUGGCUGAUCAAGUCUGCGGUCAAAGACCGGGGCUUAACCCUGGAAAGGCCGUGGAAACUGAUCAAGCUAGAGUACCGUAGGGGUAGAGGGAAUUCCCGGUGUAGCGGUGAAAUGCGUAGAGAUCGGGAAGAACAUCGGUGGCGAAAGCGCUCUACUGGACGGUGACUGACACUCAGGGACGAAAGCUAGGGGAGCGAAUGGGAUUAGAUACCCCCGUAGUCC